rnacentral:rRNA from 1 species
AACUAUUCUGAAGUUGACCUCGGAUCAGGUAGGGAUA